UAAAUAAUGUCGCCAAUGGAGGUAUCAAGCCCUCAUAAAGACAGAGAUAAAA
rnacentral:ribozyme from 2 species